rnacentral:rRNA from 1 species
UACGGGGGGGGCAAGCGUUGUUCGGAAUUACUGGGCGUAAAGGGCGCGUAGGCGGUGCUCUAAGUCGGAUGUGAAAACUCUGGGCUCAACCCAGAGCCUGCAUCCGAAACUGGAGUGCUAGAGUUCUGGAGGGGGUAGCGGAAUUCCUGGUGUAGCGGUGAAAUGCGUAGAUAUCAGGAGGAACACCGGUGGCGAAGGCGGCUGCCUGGACAGAAACUGACGCUGAGGCGCGAAAGCUAGGGGAGCAAACAGG